GUCUGUCCGAAGGUAGUGAGUUAUCCCAAUUGAUUGUUCACAGUCAGUUAUAGAUUGGAGUAUUUGUUCCAUUCCCACCCCCAUCUCACUAUGGCACUUGACUAGUCUUUU
rnacentral:Y_RNA from 1 species